AUUUUUUUCCUUUUAACUGAACAAUUGCAGUGCUGAAGAAAUUAAUGACGAUGUGACAAUUGCACAGUAGCUAAAUUCAAUCAACAAAUCAAUCGAAGCACAUAAUGAAACUAACGAAGAGGAACAGAGAAAUGAUAAUAGCUCAAGUUUAAAGAGCAAUGGAGACGAAGAAAGGUUAUUUAUAGAGAACCUGAAAAGAAAAUGCCAAAGAAGAGAAUUGCUGUCAAAAUUUCAAAAGAGGUGGCUGCAGAACGACGGAAGAAAAAGAGACUUGGUGAGCUUGGCCCUAUUAUCGACGGACCAGUGCGGUGACAAAUGAAAAGUCUGGGAAAAGUGAUGUACUUGUUAAACCAAAAUCUGAAAUAGAAAAUACAACCAAGAAAAGUAAGGCGGGAGAAACAUCAUUAAAAGAAAGAGGGGAGGAUGCUGAUAACAAGAGAGAACAUAAAAAACAAAAAAAGGAAGGAAGUGGUGAUCAGUUCAGAUUUAAAAAUUAAUGAGAAGGUACAAUUGAAGAUACCCACAAUACAAUGGAUUGAACUCUUCCAAAAAUUGACGGGAAGAGAAUACCCGAUGAAGCUGAAGAGAAAAGAGAAGCCGCAACAGAAGAAAAAGAAAGAAGUUGUUGAUGAUGAUGAGGAACUAAUACCAUCAUCUUGGACGGUGACAAAUGAUGAAGAUAAGUUGGCUUCGAUUCGAGAAAUGAGUUCUAAGCAAUUUCUCGAUCUAAGUCUGACGCGUCACAAAACACAAUUUGCUACAAAGAUAGUUCAAACUAUAAUGUUAUUUUCAUUCAGAUUCAUGAUUUUAUAUAUAAUGACUUGUGUCAUUUAAAUGAAUCUAUUUUCCAGUUUCCAAAUUAAU